CGGUUCAAAUUAGGCUCAAAAUCAUUUUGAGCUUAUAAAGUAAUGUUUACAAAUAAUACAAACUUUGUAAACCUGGAAAAUAAAUCUGCAUGAAAAAUUCAAGUUUGCAAUAUGUCAAACAAUUGCACUUGAGGCAAAGACGUGUGUAUUUGUUCAGACAGUGUGAAUCAAAACUGAACAAAUGAUCGUUGGUGAGGUUCAACAAAGACUCAGGGGAAGUAGAAAAGCUUUUGUGGACGUCUGUGUUCAGAGAUCAAGAGCAGAAAACUAAAACUCAGUGAGCAACAUUCCCAGUGUGAGACACUGACAAGUAUCACUUUACAUCCUCGUCACUUCAGUGUCACUGUGGGAACUUUUGACCAGAGUUUCACAGUUUUCUUCUGUAUCGCAACACAGAUGUUGACAAACCCAUUUCCCCUUUUUACAGAGUCUUUGUUCGACCUCACUGAUCGUUUGUGGAGUUUUGAUUCAGACUUUCAACAAACACAAAUCUCUUUGACAAAAGCGCAACUGUUUCACAUACGCAAACUUGAAUUUCUCAAGCAGAUUUAUCUCACAGGUUUACAAAGGUUGAUUUACAAACUACAGACAUUGGAAUUAUUUGUCAACAUCACUUUACAAGCUCACAAUCAUUUCAACCCUAAUUUGAGCCAAGGUACAUGUAGUUACAGUAACAACAGUUUUGUUUCCUUAACAAGGUACCUUUACCUUAAAUCCUCAAAGUAACAUCUUAAUUUAGACGUGCAUCACUGCGUAGAUUAAUUUAGUUAAGGAAUUAAAAUCUUUCCCUGAAUUCCAACAGGGACGUUUGUUUUCACCGGCAACACGAGCUCUUCACCGACUCUGAUCUGAAGGCCAGUCUGUCUCGUCCCCUCACCUACAAGCCUCAUAAAGGUAAACUGAAGCCCUUUGGAGACGCAAACGAAAACACAGCAACAACAGGAAACAAGUCUCUGAUCUCCAACUCGCAUCAGAAAAAUUACAAACAGCACCAAGUCCAAACGAGGGAGCACAGGAGAACGAGACACAUGGAAGACAGGAAGCAGAAGAAGGAGAAUGUGCUCGGGGCGAGAAGAGGCCUCGUCAUGAUGUAGUGAUAUUACGCUUGUUUGUAGAUGUUUGUACAGCUUGUUGUUUUUUGUAAAUAUUUCGUUGUCUGCAGCUCAUUUCUCUGCAUAGAGAAGUCAUGUCCUGUUCUGCUCAAUAUUUAAUUUUAUUAAAGAUUUUA